AGAGUUUGAUCCUGGCUCAGAAUCAACGCUGGCGGCGUGCCUAACACAUGCAAGUCGAGCGAGAGGAGGUAGCAAUACCUUAGUAAAGCGGCGCACGGGUGAGUAACACGUGGAUAACCUGCCUCGAAGUGGGGAAUAACCCCGGGAAACCGGAGCUAAUACCGCAUAACCUGACGAGAUCUGUGGAUUUUGUCAGUAAAGGAGCAAUUCGCUUUGAGAGGGGUCCGCGGCUGAUUAGCUAGUUGGUGAGGUAAUGGCUCACCAAGGCCACGAUCAGUAGCCGGUCUGAGAGGACGGUCGGCCACACUGGAACUGAGACACGGUCCAGACUCCUACGGGAGGCAGCAGUGGGGAAUUUUUCGCAAUGGGGGCAACCCUGACGAAGCAACGCCGCGUGGGUGAUGAAGUAUUUCGGUACGUAAAACCCUUUCGACGGGGACGAAACCGCAAGGUUGACGGUACCCGUAGAAGAAGCCCCGGCUAACUCCGUGCCAGCAGCCGCGGUAAUACGGGGGGGGCAAGCGUUGUUCGGAAUUACUGGGCGUAAAGGGCGCGUAGGCGGCUCGCUAAGUUGGAUGUGAAAACUCUGGGCUUAACCCAGAGCCUGCAUCCAAAACUGGCAAGCUUGAGUACUGGAGGGGAAAGCGGAAUUCCUGGUGUAGCGGUGAAAUGCGUAGAUAUCAGGAGGAACACCGGUGGCGAAGGCGGCUUUCUGGACAGUAACUGACGCUGAGGCGCGAAAGCUAGGGGAGCAAACAGGAUUAGAUACCCCGGUAGUCC
rnacentral:rRNA from 1 species